rnacentral:rRNA from 1 species
GAUCAUGGCUCAGGAUGAACGCUAGCUACAGGCUUAACACAUGCAAGUCGAGGGGCAGCAUUUUAGUUUGCUUGCAAACUGAAGAUGGCGACCGGCGCACGGGUGAGUAACACGUAUCCAACCUGCCGAUAACUCCGGAAUAGCCUUUCGAAAGAAAGAUUAAUACCGGAUAGUAUACGAAUAUCGCAUGAUUAUUUUUAAUUAAAGUAAUUUCGGUUAUCGAGUGGGGAUGCGCUCCAUUUAG